CGAACGCUGGCGGCGUGCUUAACACAUGCAAGUUGAACGAGAAGUUUCCGCAUGAUUUUUUCGGAAUGAUUAUGGAGAUGGAAAGUAGCGAACGGGCGAGUAACGCGUGGGUAACCAACCUCAAACAGGGGGACAACAUCGGGAAACCGGUGCUAAUACCGCAUAUAUGCAGACAUGGCAUCAUGAUUGCAGGAAAGGCUUCGGCCGGUUUGAGACGGACCCGCGUCCAAUUAGCUAGUUGGUAGUGUAAUGGACUACCAAGGCGACGAUUGGUAGCCGGGCUGAGAGGCUGAACGGCCGCAUUGGGACUGAGACACGGCCCAGACUCCUACGGGAGGCAGCAGUGGGGAAUAUUGCACAAUGGGGGAAACCCUGAUGCAGCGACGCCGCGUGAAGGAUGAAGGUUUUCGGAUCGUAAACUUCUUUGAUCGGGGACGAAAUUUGACGGUACCCGAAGAACAAGCCACGGCUAACUAC
rnacentral:rRNA from 1 species